AACUUAUCCGGAAAGACGGAGGGAUUGGGCCCUUAGAUGUCUUAGCAACCCUUUAAUAGAAGGUGCUAACUCCCACUCUGAGAAUUUUAUUUUCAGCAGAGAAAGAUAAGGU
rnacentral:ncRNA from 1 species